rnacentral:rRNA from 1 species
GAUGAACGCUGGCGGCGUGCCUAAUACAUGCAAGUCGAGCGAACAGACGAGGAGCUUGCUCCUUUGACGUCAGCGGCGGACGGGUGAGUAACACGUGGGUAACCUACCUAUAAGACUGGGAUAACUUCGGGAAACCGGAGCUAAUACCGGAUAAUAUUUCGAACCGCAUGGUUCGAUAGUGAAAGAUGGCUUUGCUAUCACUUAUAGAUGGACCUGCGCCGUAUUAGCUAGUUGGUAAGGUAACGGCUUACCAAGGCAACGAUACGUAGCCGACCUGAGAGGGUGAUCGGCCACACUGGAACUGAGACACGGUCCAGACUCCUACGGGAGGCAGCAGUAGGGAAUCUUCCGCAAUGGGCGAAAGCCUGACGGAGCAACGCCGCGUGAGUGAUGAAGGUCUUCGGAUCGUAAAACUCUGUUAUUAGGGAAGAACAAACGUGUAAGUAACUGUGCACGUCUUGACGGUACCUAAUCAGAAAGCCACGGCUAACUACGUGCCAGCAGCCGCCGUAA